rnacentral:rRNA from 1 species
CAGCCCCUCGAGUGGUAGGGAUGAUUAUUGGGCCUAAAGCAUCCGUAGCCGGCGCUGUAAGUUUUCGGUUAAAUCUGUACGCUCAACGUACAGGCUGCCGGGAAUACUGCAGCGCUAGGGAGUGGGAGAGGUAGACGGUACUCGGUAGGAAGGGGUAAAAUCCUUUGAUCUAUUGAUGACCACCUGUGGCGAAGGCGGUCUACCAGAACACGUCCGACGGUGAGGGAUGAAAUCUGGGGGAGCAAACCGGAUUAGAUACCCGAGUAGUCC